GGCCGAGUGGCGCAAUGGUAGCGUGUGGUCCUCCUAUUCGUGGGAGAAUCAGACUGAGGUUGUGGGUUCGAGUCCCAUCUCGGUCG